rnacentral:lncRNA from 1 species
GGACCAGAAAGGAUCUUGUAUAUAGGGGAUUAAAAAGUCUGGUAUUUGGGGGGGGGGGGGGUCACUUAUAAAGGAGAUUUUCUUUGCCUUUAAUCUAUUUACAAUAGAUGUAUUGUAGGUACCCAGGACAGCUGCGAAGUGAGGGCGACGAGGACUGUGCAGUUAUUGCAAGCAGGGCCGGUCUUCUUAAUCUAUUUACAAUAGAUGUAUUGUAGGUACCCAGGACAGCCGCGAAGUGAGGGCUACGAGGACUGUGCAGUUAAUGCAAGCAGGGCCGGUCUACUUAAUCUUUUUACAAUAGAUGUAUCGUAGGUACCCAGGACAGCCGCGAAGUAAGGGCGACGAGGACUGUGCAGUUAUUGCAAGCAGGGCCGGUCUACUUAAUCUAUUUACAAUAGAUGUUUUGUAGGUACCCAGGACAGCCGCGAAGUGAGGGCGACGAUGACUGUGCAGUUAUUGCAAGCAGGGCCGGUCUACUUAAUCUAUUUACAAUAGAUGUUUUGUAGGUAUCCAGGACAGCCGGGAAGUGAGGGCGACGAGGACUGUGCAGUUAUUGCAAGCAGGGCCGGUCUACUUAAUCUAUUUACAAUAGAUGUAUUGUAGGUACCCAGGACAGCCGCGAAGUGAGGGCGACGAGGACUGUGCAGUUAUUGCAAGCAGGGCCGGUCUACUUAAUCUAUUUACAAUAGAUGUAUCGUAGGUACCCAGGACAGCCGCGAAGUGAGGGCGACGAGGACUGUACAGUUAUUGCAAGCAGGGUCGGUCUACUUAUUCUAUUUACAAUAAAUGUUUUGUAGGUAUCCAGGACAACCGGGAAGUGAGGGCGACGAGGACUGUGCAGUUAUUGCAAGCAGGAGUGACAUAUUUAACGGAUGGCACGAUGCCCCGUGUGCUGCCCGUCAUCAUCCUAUAUGUGAGAUCAGUGAAUCGCAGACGGAGGUGGACAUAAUUGGACGAAGAAAAUGAACUCGUAAAACUCUUCCAUAUUACAUAUCUCUUGUAUGAAAAACAAGUUCAUAAAAAUAAUUUCUUAAAAGCUUA